AACGAACGCUGGCGGCAUGCCUAACACAUGCAAGUCGAACGAGACCUUCGGGUCUAGUGGCGCAGGGGUGCGUAACGCGUGGGAACCUGCCCUUAGGUUCGGAAUAACUCCCCGAAAGGGGUGCUAAUACCGGAUAAUGUCUUCGGACCAAAGAUUUAUCGCCUUUGGAUGGGCCCGCGUUGGAUUAGCUAGUUGGUAGGGUAAAAGCCUACCAAGGCGACGAUCCAUAGCUGGUGUGAGAGGAUGAUAAGCCACACUGGGACUGAGACACGGCCCAGACUCCUACGGGAGGCAGCAGUGGGGAAUAUUGGACAAUGGGCGAAAGCCUGAUCCAGCAAUGCCGCGUGAGUGAUGAAGGCCUUAGGGUUGUAAAGCUCUUUUACCCGGGAUGAUAAUGACAGUACCGGGAGAAUAAGCACCGGCUAACUCCGUG
rnacentral:rRNA from 1 species